UCCGAAAUAGCUCAGUCGGUAGAGCAGUUGGCUGUUAACCAAUUUGUCGGGGGUUCAAGUCCCUCUUUCGGAG
rnacentral:tRNA from 1 species